CCUUACACCUGCAGAUUUGGCCGAGUGGUUUAAGGCGGCAGGCAAGUUAUGCCUUUCCAAAUGUCCCGAAAUUCCACUAACCUUUCCCCAAGACUUAAGUUCUGCUCACGAAAGUGGCGUGGGUUCGAACCCCACAGUCUGCAA
rnacentral:tRNA from 1 species